AAUAUUGGACAAUGGGUGAGAGCCUGAUCCAGCCAUCCCGCGUGCAGGAAGAAUGCCUUAUGGGUUGUAAACUGCUUUUAUACAGGAAUAAACCACUUUACGUGUAAGGUGUUGAAGGUACUGUAUGAAUAAGCAUCGGCUAACUCCGUGCCAGCAGCCGCGGUAAUACGGAGGAUGCAAGCGUUAUCCGGAUUUAUUGGGUUUAAAGGGUCCGUAGGCGGGCAUAUAAGUCAGAGGUGAAAUCCGACAGCUUAACUGUCGAACUGCCUUUGAAACUGUAUGUCUUGAGUGAGAUUGAAGCAGCUGGAAUGUGUAGUGUAGCGGUGAAAUGCAUAGAUAUUGCACAGAACACCGAUAGCGUAGGCAGGUUGCUAAGUCUUUACUGACGCUGAUGGACGAAAGCGUGGGGAGCAAACAG
rnacentral:rRNA from 1 species